rnacentral:misc_RNA from 1 species
UCUCCGUUGGUGAACCAGCGGAGGGAUCAUUACCGAGUUUACAACUCCCAAACCCAAUGUGAACCAUACCAAACUGUUGCCUCGGCGGGGUCACGCCCCGGGUGCGUCGCAGCCCCGGAACCAGGCGCCCGCCGGAGGGACCAACCAAACUCUUUCUGUAGUCCCCUCGCGGACGUUAUUUCUUACAGCUCUGAGCAAAAAUUCAAAAUGAAUCAAAACUUUCAACAAUGGAUCUCUUGGUUCUG